rnacentral:rRNA from 1 species
UACGAAGGGGGCUAGCGUUGCUCGGAAUCACUGGGCGUAAAGCGCACGUAGGCGGAUUGUUAAGUCAAGGGGUGAAAUCCUGGAGCUCAACUCCAGAACUGCCUUUGAUACUGACGCAGUACUUCUGAGUCCGGGAGAGGUGAGUGGAACUGCGAGUGUAGAGGUGAAAUUCGUAGAUAUUCGCAAGAACACCAGUGGCGAAGGCGGCUCACUGGCCCGGUACUGACGCUGAGGUGGCGAAAGCGUGGGGAGCAACAGG